AUAGUAAGCCUUCUUUCUUCUCUGAUUUGAAUCGAAUCAAGCAGGCGGUCGCCGCGACGACGAAGGCGGCUCCCGAAGAUUUAGGGUUUCGUCUCCGAUCGAGAUGGAGCAGGGCGAGGUGAACUCCCGGACCACGGUGGCGGAGGCGAUUUCGAACCCGCGCUGCUACUUGGACAUCAGUAUCGGCGGCGAGGUGGAGGGGAGGAUCGUGGUGGAGCUCUUCGCCGACGUGGUGCCGCGGACGGCGGAUAACUUUAGGGCGCUGUGCACCGGGGAGAAGGGCGUCGGGCCCGCCGCAGACGUUCCGCUCCACUUCAAGGGUUCAUGUUUUCAUCGUGUCAUCAAAGGUUUCAUGAUACAAGGGGGAGAUAUAUCUGCUGGUGAUGGAACUGGGGGAGAAUCCAUCUAUGGUUUAAAAUUUGAGGAUGAGAAUUUUGUCAUGAAACAUGAAAGAAAAGGAAUGCUUUCAAUGGCAAAUUCUGGUCCUAACACAAAUGGAUCCCAGUUCUUUAUCACUACUACUAGAACAACUCAUCUAGAUGGAAAACAUGUUGUGUUUGGGAAAGUUCUUAAAGGCAUGGGAGUUGUUCGUUCAAUUGAGCACACUCCUGUUGGUGAGGCUGAUCGCCCCACUAUUGAUGUAGUGAUUGCUGAUUGCGGAGAACUUCCUGAAGGGGCUGAUGAUUGUGUGUCAAACUUCUUUAAGGAUGGAGACUUGUAUCCUGACUGGCCAAAUGACUUGGAUGAAAAGCCAAAUGAGGUUUCUUGGUGGAUGAAUGCUGUGGAAUCUGCCAAAACAUUUGGAAAUGAUAACUUCAAGAAAAAAGACUAUAAGAUGGCUCUUAGAAAGUACAGAAAAUCUUUGCGCUACUUGGAUGUAUGCUGGGAAAAAGAGGAGAUUGAUGAAGCAAAGAGUUUGUUGUUGCGCAAGACAAAGUCAAUUAUUCUAACAAAUAGUUCCACUUGCAAGUUAAAGCUACGAGACUUGGAAGGUGCUUUGUUAGAUGCUGAUUUUGCAAUACGUGAAAAAGAGGCAAAUGCGAAAGCUUAUUUUCGGCAAGGUCAGGCUCACAGUGCACUAAACGACGUGGAUGCUGCAGUGGAGAGCUUCCUUAGAGCACUUGAAUUAGAGCCUAAUGAUGGAGCUAUUAAGAAAGAGCUGGCCGCCGCAAAGAAGAAGAUUGCUGAUCGACGAGACAAGGAGCGACGGGCUUACUCGAGAAUGUUCCAACCCUCUGCCAAGUCCAAUGGCAACGAUGACUAGGCAUACGUUGGGCCCGAAGGGAGAAGGAUGAGAAAUUUUGAUGGAACCAUUUAUUUUCCUUACAACAUUAGAGAUGCAAAUGAACAUUUAUGAGGCUGAACGACCGCUCAAAUGAGACCACCUCGAUCCGACGUGUGAGAAUUUCCCGCAUGGAAAUAUUAUGCGGAGAACUAUCGCCUACUGCUCCUUUAGCAUCCGCCGCUGGAAAUCGAAGUUUAGUGGGGAAUCGAGAUGGUGGUCGUCGGAAUCGGUACCUGGAGAGAAGAAGGAGAAAGGCACAGGAACGGUGUCAUCGGAUUCAGGCGAGGUGGAGCGGAGGCCGGCGACGCCACGGCGGCCGCGGAGGACGGCGUAGUAGAGGUCGAGCGCCGGGAGCGUCUCCCAGAACCUCUGCGCCCUGGUGACGUCGGCGGACGCGACCUCGUCGAUGCUGAAACCGAGGUCGAUGCAUCCCUACAGCUUGUCUAGUUCCUCGUCGGUGACGCUGCGCCGGCGGACGAGGUGGAUCGCCUGUCGGUGGA